AAUGAACGCUGGCGGCGUGCCUAACACAUGCAAGUCGAGCGGGGAUAGUCCUUCGGGAUGUGUACCAGCGGCGGACGGGUGAGUAACGCGUGAGAACAUACCUUUUAGUGAGGAAUACCUCAGGGAAGCCUGAGUUAAUACUGCAUAAUCCCUUAUAGGGGAAAGGUGGCUUUAUGCUGCCGCUAAAAGAUUGGCUUGCGUACUAUUAGCUAGUUGGUGAGGUAAUGGCUCACCAAGGCUUUGAUGGUUAACCGGCCUGAGAGGGUGUACGGUCACAUUGGAACUGAGAUACGGUCCAGACUCCUACGGGAGGCUG
rnacentral:rRNA from 1 species